UACGUAGGGGGCAAGCGUUGUCCGGAAUUACUGGGCGUAAAGCGUACGCAGGCGGCUUUGCAAGACAGGUGUGAAAUCCCCGGGCUUAACCUGGGAAUGGCGCUUGUUACUGGCAAGCUAGAGUGUGUCAGAGGGAGGUAGAAUUCCACGUGUAGCAGUGAAAUGCGUAGAGAUGUGGAGGAAUACCGAUGGCGAAGGCAGCCUCCUGGGAUAACACUGACGCUCAUGCACGAAAGCGUGGGGAGCAAACAGG
rnacentral:rRNA from 1 species